AACGAACGCUGGCGGCAGGCUUAACACAUGCAAGUCGAACGCCCCGCAAGGGGAGUGGCAGACGGGUGAGUAACGCGUGGGAAUCUACCCAGUUCUACGGAACAACAGAGGGAAACUUCUGCUAAUACCGUAUACGCCCUACGGGGGAAAGAUUUAUCGGAAUUGGAUGAGCCCGCGUAAGAUUAGCUAGUUGGUGAGGUAAUGGCUCACCAAGGCGACGAUCUUUAGCUGGUCUGAGAGGAUGAUCAGCCACACUGGGACUGAGACACGGCCCAGACUCCUACGGGAGUCAGCAGUUAGGGAGCGUGGGCAAUGGGCGCAAGCCUGACCCAGCGACGCCGCGUGGGGGACGACGGCCCUCGGGUCGUAAACCCCUUUUCCCGGGGACGAUGGUGACGGUACCCGGGGAAGAAGUCCCGGCUAACUACGUGCCAGCAGCCGCCGUAAGAC
rnacentral:rRNA from 1 species